UACGGAGGGGGCAAGCGUUGUUCGGAAUUACUGGGCGUAAAGGGCGCGUAGGCGGCAAGGCAAGUCAGAUGUGAAAGCCCCGGGCUUAACUCGGGAAUUGCAUCUGAAACUGCUGUGCUUGAGUCCUGGAGGGGGUAGUGGAAUUCCCAGUGUAGCGGUGAAAUGCGUAGAUAUUGGGAGGAACACCGGUGGCGAAGGCGGCUACCUGGACAGUGACUGACGCUGAGGCGCGAAAGCUAGGGGAG
rnacentral:rRNA from 1 species